CAGGGCUCCUGAGGGCUCAACUAUCCACACAUACGGGCUCGUGGAGGCAGCUCGGGGCAGCGGCUCCUGCAGUGGGAGCAUCGCUAAGCGCUGCCUCCGGGAGAGGACAACCCAGGCUCCCCAGCCAAGCUGCCCUGAGGCUGUAUCCCGGGGCCCAGAGAGCCCCAGCAGCAGCCCCGCGCGGUCACGCCUGGGCCACGGUGCUGCUCAGUGGUGCCUGCGCGGUCAGCACCUGAAUGGCUGCUCGCCUGGCUUGGCGCGCCUUCUCCUCCCGGGCCUUCCUCCUGGCUGCCUCUUUCUGCUGCUGCAGGUCCAAGAGGGUCCCCUCGCCUGACCGCUGCCGCUGCUCCUGCCAAAGAAGCCGUUGCCAUGUGGUGUUUACAUCUGGAAGACGGAAUCCAGACCCAGACCAGAGGUUUCCCCACAACGCCCUGGAGUCCCCUAGAGUUCGUGGAACCUCAGGGCCAACAGGGAAGAUGAAACCCCACCAGGACCUUGAACCUGCCAUUUCUCUGCUCUACAGAGGAUGAGCCCUACGUCGCAGGUGGCCAACAGUUCUGGCGUGGGGGAGACAGCUCUGCCCCCACAGAAUGUCCUCCUGAGACUCUCCAGCCUGGGAUGGACCCAGCAGGCGUUUUCUGACACCCAGACUCUGAUGACCGCCAGUGAAGACCACCCUGCCUGUCCGCGGGGACCCAGGGUCAAGAAGGAUGCUGCACCCAGAGACAGGGCCCACGAGCAAUCCUAGGCUUUGAUUCCACCUGUCCCAGAAACUCAGACCCCUGGGAUUCUGGGCCAGACC
rnacentral:antisense_RNA from 1 species